rnacentral:rRNA from 1 species
UACGUAGGUGGCAAGCGUGAUGCGGAAUUAUUGGGCGUAAAGUGCGCGCAGGCGGUUUCUUAAGUCUGAUGUGAAAGCCCACGGCUCAACCGUGGAGGGUCAUUGGAAACUGGGGAACUUGAGUGCAGAAGAGAAAAGCGGAAUUCCACGUGUAGCGGUGAAAUGCGUAGAGAUGUGGAGGAACACCAGUGGCGAAGGCGGCUUUUUGGUCUGUAACUGACGCUGAGGCGCGAAAGCGUGGGGAGCAAACAGG